UCGUGUAUCUCCAUCUCUCUCAAUUUCCAUAUCUUGUGUCUCCGACUCUCAUUUGGAGCCCUAAAAUCCCUCUGCCUACCAAUCCACCCACGUUGACCAAGCCCUGAAAAUUUGAAGCUACUCUAGCCAGUCACCAUCCAUGGCUCUCAAGAUUCUUGCAAUUUGUCUCAAGAUAUCAAUUGGUUUUUUAUUUGUGUCAUUAUUUUUAAUUCAAAAUUUUAAUCCAAACUUACUACUUCACAAUUUCAAGUCAUUUGAUUAAGAAAUCAAUAUAUUUCUUGUUUGGUGUUAUUUAUGAUUUAUUUGGGAAGUUAUAUUUAUGCAUCGAUGUCUCUUCCUCUCUUGUUGAAUUUGAUGAUUUUUGGAAACCUACUGAUUCUCUUUUAUUCGGAGCUUAAAUUUUAGUAGUUAUAUGUACACUAAUUAUUAAGUU
rnacentral:lncRNA from 1 species